UAGAGCACUGUUUCGGCUAGGGGGCCAUCCCGGCUUACCAACCCGAUGCAAACUGCGAAUACCGGAGAAUGUUAUCACGGGAGACACACGGCGGGUGCUAACGUCCGUCGUGAAGAGGGAAACAACCCAGACCGCCAGCUAAGGUCCCAAAGUCAUGGUUAAGUGGGAAACGAUGUGGGAAGGCCCAGACAGCCAGGAUGUUGGCUUAGAAGCAGCCAUCAUUUAAAGAAAGCGUAAUAGCUCACUGGUCGAGUCGGCCUGCGCGGAAGAUGUAACGGGGCUAAACCAUG
rnacentral:rRNA from 2 species